AAAUAAAGUAAUGACAAGCAUCAAUGGUUUUAAAAUGGCACACAGUUCCAACGGAGCUGUGCAGAAUCGCUAGCAAGAGAUUCUGGGUACGUAAUUUUUUGGUCUUGAGGCAGCUGGUAGCCAUUUGCUCUGGCGCCUCA